UGCCUAAUACAUGCAAGUCGAACGCACUCUCGUUUAGAUUGAAGGAGCUUGCUCCUGAUUGAUAAACAUUUGAGUGAGUGGCGGACGGGUGAGUAACACGUGGGUAACCUGCCCUAAAGUGGGGGAUAACAUUUGGAAACAGAUGCUAAUACCGCAUAAAACCUAACACCGCAUGGUGUAGGGUUGAAAGAUGGUUUCGGCUAUCACUUUAGGAUGGACCCGCGGUGCAUUAGUUAGUUGGUGAGGUAAAGGCUCACCAAGACCGUGAUGCAUAGCCGACCUGAGAGGGUAAUCGGCCACACUGGGACUGAGACACGGCCCAGACUCCUACGGGAGGCAGCAGUAGGGAAUCUUCCACAAUGGACGAAAGUCUGAUGGAGCAACGCCGCGUGAGUGAAGAAGGUUUUCGGAUCGUAAAACUCUGUUGUUGGAGAAGAAUGUAUCUGAUAGUAACUGAUCAGGUAGUGACGGUAUCCAACCAGAAAGCCACGGCUAACUACGUGCCAGCAGCCGCGGUAAUACGUAGGUGGCAAGCGUUGUCCGGAUUUAUUGGGCGUAAAGCGAGCGCAGGCGGUUUCUUAAGUCUGAUGUGAAAGCCUUCGGCUCAACCGAAGAAGUGCAUCGGAAACUGGGAAACUUGAGUGCAGAAGAGGACAGUGGAACUCCAUGUGUAGCGGUGAAAUGCGUAGAUAUAUGGAAGAACACCAGUGGCGAAGGCGGCUGUCUGGUCUGUAACUGACGCUGAGGCUCGAAAGCAUGGGUAGCAAACAGGAUUAGAUACCCUGGUAGUCCA
rnacentral:rRNA from 1 species